AUACGGAGGAUGCGAGCGUUAUCCGGAUUUAUUGGGUUUAAAGGGAGCGUAGGCGGGAGCUUAAGUCAGCGGUUAAAUGGUGCGGCUCAACCGUGCCCUGCCGUUGAAACUGGGUUUCUUGAGAGUGCAAGAGGCGGAUGGAAUUCAUGGUGUAGCGGUGAAAUGCUUAGAUAUCAUGAAGAACUCCGAUUGCGAAGGCAGUCCGCUGGGGCACGUCUGACGCUGAUGCGCGAAGGUGCGGGAAUCAAACAGGAUUAGAUACCCUGGUAGUCCGCACAGUAAACGAUGGAUACUCGCUGUCGGCGAUAUACGGUCGGUGGCCAAGCGAAAGCGUUAAGUAUCCCACCUGGGGAGUACGCCGGCAACGGUGAAACUCAAAUGAAUUGACGGG
rnacentral:rRNA from 1 species